AGCUCCAAUAGCGUAUAUUAAAGUUGUUGCAGUUAAAAAGCUCGUAGUUGGAUUUCUGGUAGGAGCGACCGUUCCGAACUUGAUUGUUCGUGUAUUGAGUUGUCUCCAGCCAUCCUUGUGGAGAACUUUUCUUGCAUUAAUUUGUAGGGAUUGGGACCCGCAUCGUUUACUGUGAAGAAAUUAGAGUGUUUAAAGCAGGCAAUCGCUUGAAUACAUUAGCAUGGAAUAAUAAGAUAGGACUUUGGUACUAUUUUGUUGGUUUGCAUACCAAAUUAAUGAUCAACAGGAACAGUUUGAGGAUAUUCGUAUGAACAUGUCAGAGGUGAAAUUCUUGGAUUUUGAUCAGACGAACUACUGCGAAAGCAUUUAUCAAGGAUGUUUUCAUUAAUCAAGAACGAAA
rnacentral:rRNA from 1 species